UACGUAGGGGGCAAGCGUUGUCCGGAAUUAUUGGGCGUAAAGAGCGCGUAGGCGGUCCGAUAAGUCGGCUGUGAAAGUCAGGGGCUCAACCCUUGAAAGCCGGCCGAUACUGUCGGACUAGAGUCCGGAAGAGGCAAGUGGAAUUCCCGGUGUAGCGGUGAAAUGCGCAGAUAUCGGGAGGAACACCAAUGGCGAAGGCAGCUUGCUGGGACGGUACUGACGCUGAGGCGCGAAAGCGUGGGGAGCAACAGG
rnacentral:rRNA from 1 species